rnacentral:rRNA from 1 species
GACGAACGCUGGCGGCGUGCCUAAUACAUGCAAGUAGAACGCUGAAGAGAGGAGCUUGCUCUUCUUGGAUGAGUUGCGAACGGGUGAGUAACGCGUAGGUAACCUGCCUUGUAGCGGGGGAUAACUAUUGGAAACGAUAGCUAAUACCGCAUAACAAUGGAUGACACAUGUCAUUUAUUUGAAAGGGGCAAUUGCUCCACUACAAGAUGGACCUGCGUUGUAUUAGCUAGUAGGUGAGGUAAUGGCUCACCUAGGCGACGAUACAUAGCCGACCUGAGAGGGUGAUCGGCCACACUGGGACUGAGACACGGCCCAGACUCCUACGGGAGGCAGCAGUAGGGAAUCUUCGGCAAUGGGGGCAACCCUGACCGAGCAACGCCGCGUGAGUGAAGAAGGUUUUCGGAUCGUAAAGCUCUGUUGUAAGUCAAGAACGGGUGUGAGAGUGGAAAGUUCACACUGUGACGGUAGCUUACCAGAAAGGGACGGCUAACUACGUGCCAGCAGCCGCGGUAAUACGUAGGUCCCGAGCGUUGUCCGGAUUUAUUGGGCGUAAAGCGAGCGCAGGCGGUUUGAUAAGUCUGAAGUUAAAGGCUGUGGCUCAACCAUAGUUCGCUUUGGAAACUGUCAAACUUGAGUGCAGAAGGGGAGAGUGGAAUUCCAUGUGUAGCGGUGAAAUGCGUAGAUAUAUGGAGGAACACCGGUGGCGAAAGCGGCUCUCUGGUCUGUAACUGACGCUGAGGCUCGAAAGCGUGGGGAGCGAACAGGAUUAGAUACCCUGGUAGUCCACGCCGUAAACGAUGNAGUGCUAGGUGUUGGAUCCUUUCCGGGAUUCAGUGCCGCAGCUAACGCAUUAANCACUCCGCCUGGGGAGUACGACCGCAAGGUUGAAACUCAAAGGAAUUGACGGGGGCCCGCACAAGCGGUGGAGCAUGUGGUUUAAUUCGAAGCAACGCGAAGAACCUUACCAGGUCUUGACAUCCCGAUGCUAUUUCUAGAGAUAGAAAGUUACUUCGGUACAUCGGUGACAGGUGGUGCAUGGUUGUCGUCAGCUCGUGUCGUGAGAUGUUGGGUUAAGUCCCGCAACGAGCGCAACCCUUAUUGUUAGUUGCCAUCAUUCAGUUGGGCACUCUAGCGAGACUGCCGGUAAUAAACCGGAGGAAGGUGGGGAUGACGUCAAAUCAUCAUGUCCCUUAUGACCUGGGCUACACACGUGCUACAAUGGUUGGUACAACGAGUUGCGAGUCGGUGACGGCGAGCUAAUCUCUUAAAGCCAAUCUCAGUUCGGAUUGUAGGCUGCAACUCGCCUACAUGAAGUCGGAAUCGCUAGUAAUCGCGGAUCAGCACGCCGCGGUGAAUACGUUCCCGGGCCUUGUACACACCGCCCGUCACACCACGAGAGUUUGUAACACCCGAAGUCGGUGAGGUAACCUUUUGGAGCCAGCCGCCUAAGGUGGGACAGAUGAUUGGGGUG